rnacentral:misc_RNA from 1 species
CCCAACUAUCCCUAUUAAUCAUUACGUCGAUCCUAGAAACCAACAAAAUAGGACGUUAAUCCUAUUUCAUUAUUCCAUGCUAAUGUAUUCAAGCGUUAGCCUGCUUUAAACACUCUAAUUUUUUCAAAGUAACAGUCCUGAUUUCCCGCAACACCAAAUUAAUGACAUCACGGUUCGUCAAGAAGGAGGAAUCAGUAAAGCCAACAGUACAUACCGAAGGCAUGACCAACUUACUAACCCCGAAAUUCAACUACGAGCUUUUUAGUUGCAACAACUUUAAUAUACCCUAUUGGAGCUGGAAUUACCGCGGCUGCUGGCACCAGACUUGCCCUCCAA